UUCCCUACCCUUUCUUAUUUGCAGGAAAUUCAAGUGGGUACACAUGUGAGUAUCUUCUCCUUCCCUCUGUUGUAUGCAUGUGGUCAUUUGUUAUCGCUGAUUAAGAAUCAAGAUCUGAUACAUUCUUGAAUAUUGAAGACUGUCUUAGUUGGUCCAGAUUAAACUUGACAAAUACAAUUUCCUUUUGGUUCCAUCUGACAAUUUAGUUGUAUUAUUGAUUUGGGCAGUUUUCAAUAAUCUUAAGCCGUCUUCAGAUUUUAGCUCACUCAAUCAUUCUGAAUUAUUUAACCUUAGUAUGCGGUACAUGUGUUCCAAAGAUUAAUCCUGAGAAAAUUGUAGUUGACCGGUUGGGUCUGUUUGAUUUCUUUAGUAGACUACAGCGGCAGUCACCAUCAUUCAUUAUCUAUUCUAAAGCUAGAUUAUUUGCACUACAAUAUAUUUGUUACUUCAAUCAAAUAGUUCAGCCAUGUCUUAUUGAUUUGGAGGUUCUUAUUUUAGCCUACUCGGUCUCUGGAUUAUUUACUGUCAAUUUUGAUGCAUGUCUUUAAUAAAAUAAGAAACUGAUUUUGGUUGCUAAAAUAAACACUAAACGCUACUUGCUCAUGUUGGCUAUGUGUAGAAAGACGAUCACGGUGGAGGAGAUCUCGACGGUCGAUGUGAAGCUGGGGCGGAAGAAGGGCACGAAUAUCACCUUCCUAGAAGGAACGAUCUAAUUUUUCUGGUACUGUUAUGUGUUUCAAAAAGUUAUUGGGAUGUAAUUUUUAUAUUGACACUAUAAUCUAUGAAGUUAUAUUUUCAGACAUUUCACUUUUUGCAUCAGCCGAG
rnacentral:lncRNA from 1 species